UGGGGAAUAUUGCACAAUGGGGGAAACCCUGAUGCAGCGACGCCGCGUGAACGAAGAAGGUAUUCGUAUCGUAAAGUUCUGUCCUAUGGGAAGAUAAUGACAGUACCACAGAAGAAAGCUCCGGCUAAAUACGUGCCAGCAGCCGCGGUAAUACGUAUGGAGCGAGCGUUGUCCGGAAUUAUUGGGCGUAAAGGGUACGCAGGCGGUUUAAUAAGUCGAAUGUUAAAGAUCGGGGCUCAACCCCGCAAAGCAUUGGAAACUGAUAAACUUGAGUAGUGGAGAGGAAAGUGGAAUUCCUAGUGUAGUGGUGAAAUACGUAGAUAUUAGGAGGAAUACCAGUAGCGAAGGCGACUUUCUGGACACAAACUGACGCUGAGGUACGAAAGCGUGGGGAGCAAACAGG
rnacentral:rRNA from 1 species